rnacentral:rRNA from 1 species
CCUACGGGCGGCUGUAGUCGAGAAUCAUUCACAAUGGGGGAAACCCUGAUGGUGCGACGCCGCGUGGGGGAAUGAAGGUCUUCGGAUUGUAAACCCCUGUCAUGUGGGAGCAAAUUAAAAAGAUAGUACCACAAGAGGGAGAGACGGCUAACUCUGUGCCAGCAGCCGCGGUGAUACAGAGGUCUCAAGCGUUGUUCGGAAGCACUGGGCGUAAAGCGUGCGUAGGCUGUUUCGUAAGUCGUGUGUGAAAGGCGCGGGCUAAAGCCGCGGACGGCACAUGAUACUGCGAGACUAGAGUGAUGGGGGGGGGAGCGGAAUGCUCGGUGUAGCAGUGAAAUGCGUAGAUAUCGAGAGGAACACUCGUGGCGAAGGCAGGUUCCUGGACAUUAACUGACGCUGAGGCACGAAGGCCAGGGGAGCGAAAGGGAUUAGAUACCCCUGUAGUC